GCGGGCGUGGCGGAAUUGGCAGACGCGUAUGGCUUAGGACCAUAUGCCGUAAGGUGUGGGGGUUCAAGUCCCUCCGCCCGCA
rnacentral:tRNA from 1 species